GAUGAAGAACGCAGCGAAAUGCGAUACGUAAUGUGAAUUGCAGAAUUCAGUGAAUCAUCGAGUCUUUGAACGCACAUUGCGCCCUCUGGUAUUCCGGAGGGCAUGCCUGUCCGAGCGUCAUUGCUGCCCUCAAGCACGGCUUGUGUGUUGGGCUCCGUCCCCCGCUCCCGGGGGACGGGCCCGAAAGGCAGCGGCGGCACCGCGUCCGGUCCUCGAGCGUAUGGGGCUUUGUCACCCGCUCUGUAGGCCCGGCCGGCGCUUGCCGAUCAACCAAAUUUUUAUCCAGGUUGACCUCGGAUCAGGUAGGGAUACCCGCUGAACUUAAGCAUAUCAAUAAGCGGAGGA
rnacentral:misc_RNA from 1 species